UACAGAGGGUGCAAGCGUUAAUCGGAAUGACUGGGCGUAAAGGGCGCGUAGGCGGUGAAAUAAGUUAGAUGUGAAAUCCCCCCGGCUUAACCGGGGAACUGCGCCCUAAACUGUAUGGCUGGAGUGAGAUAGGGGUGUGUGGAACUUCCGGUGGAGCGGUGAAAUGUGUUGAGAUCGGAAGGAACGCCCGUGGCGAAAGCGAAGGUCCUGGACGCCUACUGACGCUGAGACGCGAAAGCCAGGGGAGCGAACGGG
rnacentral:rRNA from 1 species